GCAACUCCUCUCAAACCACACAACAGAAUUUCACGAAACCUUUUCAGAUAAUAAGGACAUACUAUGUAGUUGUGCAUAUCGACGGGAAAUUGCGUUUCAAUUUUUUUUCUAGGAGUUACGCCCCUUUGAACUUAUUUACUUUAAUGUACGACUGCAACAGUUUGUCAUCGCAACUCCUCUCAAACCACACAACAGAAUUUCACGAAACCUUUUCAGAUAAUAAGGACAUACUAUGUAGUUGUGCAUAUCGACAGGAAAUUACGAUUCAAAUUUUUUUCUAGGAGUUACGCCUCUUUGAACUUAUUUGCUUCAAUGUACUUCUGCAACAGUUUGUCAUCUCAACACCUCUGAAACCACACAACAGAAUUUCAUGAAAUUUUGUAGAAAAUAAGAACAUACUGUGUAGAUGUGCAUAUUGACAGGAAAUUAUUAGUCAUUAUUUUUUCUUAUUCAAUUUUUUUUUCUUACACAAAUUUAAUUUCUCAAAUGACAAUGUGGGGA
rnacentral:lncRNA from 1 species